UUCGGCGCGUGGCUUUCUCAACCUCCGACUCUCUCUCUCUUAACCUUCUCGCUACCGAUUCCUCUACUGCAUCCAGAAGUGCACGGUAGUGUCUCUGUCUUUUAUCUGCCAAGCGGUUGAUUCUGUUGAUGAUUACCGGAGGACAAGCGGAGACCGGUGGAGACGACAUUGUUUUGGUGAUUGUGAAGCUUGGCGAGAUCAACAAGAAGAGGAGGACGAGGCUGCUGUAUCGCAGAGAGAUCGAUUGGAGUCGCGAAGGUUGCUGUGGAAGUCGCCAUUUCUCUUCCUCUCUUCCGAGAAUUGUUUCCUGCUUUCAUCACAAACCGGACUGAUGAAUCGAAUCCUCAAAGGUACGUCGUCUUCACAACUCAAUUGAUAGAAAUACUUUUAGCGUUUAUAAACAGAAUAGAUCAAACACAAUGCACAAAAAUCUCACCUAUAUUGUUGUUGAACACCAUAUGAGUCUGGUCAAGAAAACCUCCUGGUUGUAUCUGCGAUGAAUAAUCAUGCGCUUCUUGACCAUUUCUAAAACAAACCAAAAUCCAAAAUCCAAAAUCCAAAACCAUUAGGAAUCAACAGUAAGUAGAGGAAUAGAGAUUAGAGGCAAAAGAGAACGGGUAUACCUGUUUAAGAGCAAAACAUUUGAAGGAUAUUGAGCUUGAACAGCCAUGGAGAAAGGAAUUGUUUGAAGAAAUUGGGCGUGUUUAUGGAGAUUGGGAAUGAAGGAUGAUGAUAGAUAGCAAUAAUAAUAACAAUAAUGAAAGGUAGCAUAAGAGAAGCAUGAAAGACAAGGAAGAUGCUCAAGUGUUUAGACUAGACGAACUGUUGAAUAGGAGAGAGAAAGAUAAUGAAUUCAUGUCUUAAUCCUCUUCACCAUUCUUGCCUUCCUCACCAUCUUUUUCACCUACUUUUUCUUCCUGGUUUGGUUUUAUGAUGCUUUUCUUUACCUUUCAAACAACAAAAUUUGUUUUUAUUUUGAAUGGUAAUUACAAAUCUCUUCCUUUUUCUCCCUCCUCUGGUUACGUGUGAUAUAUAUAGGGAUGGGGAAAUAAAGAAAGGUAAAGAUAGAGAGAGAGAGAGAGAUGAGAUUGAAAGGAAUCAGUCCAACAGAGACACGCCCUGUUGCCCUUAUUAUUCUUCUCUUCUCGUGGGGUUGGAAUUGGUAUUGCUAUUACCUUUUCUCGAGAGAUUACUAUCUUUCAUCAUCUUUGAAAAAAUCCUUUUAUUUUAUGUUUUUUUUAAACUUUCCCAUCUGUCCAAACUGAUUUUCAUGUUUAUUUUUCUCCCGAUUUUUCCUCGCCAAAAUAGAUUGAUUAACAAGUAAUGAAAGAAGAAGGGAAAAAAAAAAAAAAAAAAAA